UACGUAGGGGGCAAGCGUCGUCCGGAUUUACUGGGCGUAAAGAGCGUGUAGGCGGCCACGCAGGUCCGUUGUGAAAACUGGAGGCUCAACCUCCAGCUGUCGACGGAAACCGUGUGGCUAGAGUCCGGAAGAGGAGAGUGGAAUUCCUGGUGUAGCGGUGAAAUGCGCAGAUAUCAGGAAGAACACCAAUGGCGAAGGCAGCUCUCUGGGACGGUACUGACGCUGAGACGCGAAAGCGUGGGGAGCGAACAGG
rnacentral:rRNA from 1 species